rnacentral:rRNA from 1 species
CCCAACCCCUGUGAACAUACCACUUGUUGCCUCGGCGGAUCAGCCCGCUCCCGGUAAAACGGGACGGCCCGCCAGAGGACCCCUAAACUCUGUUUCUAUAUGUAACUUCUGAGUAAAACCAUAAAUAAAUCAAAACUUUCAACAACGGAUCUCUUGGUUCUGGCAUCGAUGAAGAACGCAGCAAAAUGCGAUAAGUAAUGUGAAUUGCAGAAUUCAGUGAAUCAUCGAAUCUUUGAACGCACAUUGCGCCCGCCAGUAUUCUGGCGGGCAUGCCUGUUCGAGCGUCAUUUCAACCCUCAAGCACAGCUUGGUGUUGGGACUCGCGUUAAUUCGCGUUCCUCAAAUUGAUUGGCGGUCACGUCGAGCUUCCAUAGCGUAGUAGUAAAACCCUCGUUACUGGUAAUCGUCGCGGCCACGCCGUUAAACCCCAACUUCUGAAUGUUGACCUCGGAUCAGGUAGGAAU